AAUUAUAAUUCUACAUUGCACAACAAUAAUGGCUUAGAUUUUAAAAUGAAUAAGAUUUUUCUUAAUUACAUUAAACCACCCGUUUUAUGGUAUAUAUUGCAACAUAUCCUAAAAGAAGACAUGUGGUAUAGUAUCCGCGCGUAUGCUGAUAGAUAUAAUUAGUCAAAUGCGGUAAAGACCGAUGAUUUAUGGCACAUAAUGCAAACUUAUUUAAAUCAUACUAAAAUUUAUUAUCAAAUAUCUUUUACUGUAAGACAAUAUAUAGAUAUUUGGAUAAAAAAAAUUAUUAUCCUGUACUGCAUGUGACAUUAAACGCUACAAAUCAUACGAUAUCAUUCUCAUAUCUCAGUUCUCAAUAUAUCGACGAAGACAUAGAACAACUUCCCGCAUUUGUAACAUUUUCGAUUAUACAAAGAAAAGUUGGCAAUUCUUUUG